UACGGAGGGUGCAAACGUUGCUCGGAAUCACUGGGCGUAAAGCGCACGUAGGCGGGUUCUUAAGUCAGGGGUGAAAUCCUGGAGCUCAACUCCAGAACUGCCUUUGAUACUGGGAAUCUCGAGUCCGGGAGAGGUGAGUGGAACUGCGAGUGUAGAGGUGAAAUUCGUAGAUAUUCGCAAGAACACCAGUGGCGAAGGCGGCUCACUGGCCCGGUACUGACGCUGAGGUGCGAAAGCGUGGGGAGCAAACAGG
rnacentral:rRNA from 1 species